AGAGUUUGAUCAUGGCUCAGGAGGAACGCUGGCGGCGUGCUUAACACAUGCAAGUCGAACGAUGAACGCUGGCGGCGUGCUUAACACAUGCAAGUCGAACGAUGAAGCCCAGCUUGCUGGGUGGAUUAGUGGCGAACGGGUGAGUAACACGUGAGUAACCUGCCCCCGACUCUGGGAUAAGCCCGGGAAACUGGGUCUAAUACCGGAUAUUACCUCUUGCCGCAUGGCAGGUGGUGGAAAGAUUUAUCGGUGGGGGAUGGACUCGCGGCCUAUCAGCUUGUUGGUGAGGUAAUGGCUCACCAAGGCGACGACGGGUAGCCGGCCUGAGAGGGUGACCGGCCACACUGGGACUGAGACACGGCCCAGACUCCUACGGGAGGCAGCAGUGGGGAAUAUUGCACAAUGGGCGAAAGCCUGAUGCAGCGACGCCGCGUGAGGGAUGACGGCCUUCGGGUUGUAAACCUCUUUCAGUAGGGAAGAAGCGAAAGUGACGGUACCUGCAGAAGAAGCGCCGGCUAACUACGUGCCAGCAGCCGCGGUAAUACGUAGGGCGCAAGCGUUAUCCGGAUUUAUUGGGCGUAAAGAGCUCGUAGGCGGUUUGUCGCGUCUGCCGUGAAAGUCCGAGGCUCAACCUCGGAUCUGCGGUGGGUACGGGCAGACUAGAGUGAUGUAGGGGAGACUGGAAUUCCUGGUGUAGCGGUGAAAUGCGCAGAUAUCAGGAGGAACACCGAUGGCGAAGGCAGGUCUCUGGGCAUUUACUGACGCUGAGGAGCGAAAGCAUGGGGAGCGAACAGGAUUAGAUACCCUGGUAGUCCAUGCCGUAAACGUUGGGCACUAGGUGUGGGGGACAUUCCACGUUUUCCGCGCCGUAGCUAACGCAUUAAGUGCCCCGCCUGGGGAGUACGGCCGCAAGGCUAAAACUCAAAGGAAUUGACG
rnacentral:rRNA from 1 species